UACAGAGGGGGCAAGCGUUGUUCGGAAUUACUGGGCGUAAAGGGCGCGUAGGCGGCCCGCUAAGUCGAACGUGAAAUCCCCAGGCUCAACCUGGGAACUGCGUCCGAUACUGGCAGGCUUGAAUCCGGGAGAGGGAUGUGGAAUUCCAGGUGUAGCGGUGAAAUGCGUAGAUAUCUGGAGGAACACCGGUGGCGAAGGCGGCAUCCUGGACCGGUAUUGACGCUGAGGCGGCGAAAAG
rnacentral:rRNA from 1 species